CAGUCGCCGCGGGAAUACAGAGGGUGCAAGCGUUAAUCGGAAUUACUGGGCGUAAAGCGUGCGCAGGCGGUUUGUUAAGACAGAUGUGAAAUCCCCGGGCUCAACCUGGGAACUGCAUUUGUGACUGGCAAGCUAGAGUCUGGCAGAGGGGGGUGGAAUUCCGCGUGUAGCAGUGAAAUGCGUAGAUAUGCGGAGGAACACCGAUGGCGAAGGCAGCCCCCUGGGCCAACACUGACGCUCAUGCACGAAAGCGUGGGGAGCAAACAGGAUUAGAUACCCCUGUAGUCCCUGUCUCUUAUAC
rnacentral:rRNA from 1 species